rnacentral:rRNA from 1 species
UAGUUGGUGGGGUAAGAGCCUACCAAGGCAGAGAUCGGUAGCCGGCCUGAGAGGGCACACGGCCACACUGGCACUGAAACACGGGCCAGACUCCUACGGGAGGCAGCAGUGGGGAAUCUUGCACAAUGGGGGAAACCCUGAUGCAGCGACGCCGCGUGAGCGAUGAAGCCCUUCGGGGUGUAAAGCUCUUUCGGCAGGGAAGAUAGUGACGGUACCUGCAGAAGCAGCUGCGGCUAACUACGUGCCAGCAGCCGCGGUAAUACGUAGGCAGCAAGCGUUGUUCGGAGUUACUGGGCGUAAAGGGUGUGUAGGCGGUUCUUUAAGUUUGGUGUGAAAUCUCCCGGCUUAACCGGGAGGGUGCGCCGAAUACUGAGGGACUAGAGUACGGGAGAGGAAAGUGGAAUUCCUGGUGUAGCGGUGAAAUGCGUAGAUAUCAGGAGGAACACCGGUGGUGUAGACGGCUUUCUGGACCGACACUGACGCUGAAACACGAAAGCGUGGGUAGCAAACAGGAUUAGAUACCCUGGUAGUCCACGCCCUAAACGAUGCAUAUUUGGUGUGGGCAGUUCAUUCUGUCCGUGCCGGAGCUAACGCGUUAAAUAUGCCGCCUGGGGAGUACAGUCGCAAGGCUGAAACUCAAAGGAAUUGACG